GACGAACGCUGGCGGCGUGCUUAACACAUGCAAGUCGAACGAAGAGCGAUGGAAGCUUGCUUCUAUCAAUCUUAGUGGCGAACGGGUGAGUAACGCGUAAUCAACCUGCCCUUCAGAGGGGGACAACAGUUGGAAACGACUGCUAAUACCGCAUACGAUCUAAUCUCGGCAUCGAGGAUAGAUGAAAGGUGGCCUCUACAUGUAAGCUAUCACUGAAGGAGGGGAGUGCGUCUGAUUAGCUAGUUGGGGGGGUAACGGCCCACCAAGGCGAUGAUCAGUAGCCGGUCUGAGAGGAUGAACGGCCACAUUGGGACUGGGACACGGCCCAGACUCCUGCGGGAGGCAGCCGUGGGGAAUCUUCCGCAAUGGACGAAAGUCUGACGGAGCAACGCCGCGUGAGUGAUGACGGCCUUCGGGUUGUAAAGCUCUGUUAAUCGGGACGAAAGGCCUUCUUGCGAAUAGUGAGAAGGAUUGACGGUACCGGAAUAGAAAGCCACGGCUAACUACGUG
rnacentral:rRNA from 1 species